AAGAAAGCUUGCUUUCUUUGCUGGCGACCGGCGCACGGGUGAGUAACACGUAUCCAACCUACCCUUUACUCGGGGAUAGCCUUUCGAAAGAAAGAUUAAUACCCGAUAGCAUAAUGAUUCCGCAUGGUUUCAUUAUUAAAGGAUUCCGGUAAAGGAUGGGGACGCGUUCCAUUAGGUUGUUGGUGGGGUAACGGCCCACCAAGCCUUCGAUGGAUAGGGGUUCUGAGAGGAAGGUCCCCCACAUUGGAACUGAGACACGGUCCAAACUCCUACGGGAGGCAGCAUG
rnacentral:rRNA from 1 species